rnacentral:rRNA from 1 species
UACGGGGGGGGUAAGCGUUGUUCGGAAUUACUGGGCGUAAAGGGCUCGUAGGCGGCCAACUAAGUCAGACGUGAAAUCCCUCAGCUUAACUGGGGAACUGCGUCUGAUACUGGAUGGCUUGGAUUCGGGAGAGGAAUGCGGAAUUCCAGGUGUAGCGGUGAAAUGCGUAGAUAUCGUAAGGAAGACCAGUGGCGAAGGCGGGUCUCUGGACAGUUCCUGACGCUGAGGCACGAAGGCCAGGGGAGCAAACGGG